UUAUUAAAUUUAUUUUUUUUAUUUUUGUAGAGAGGAGGUCUUGCUGUGUUGCCCAGGCUGCUCUCAAACUCAUGGCCUUAAAACAUACUCCCAUCUCUGCCUCUCAAACUGUUGGAACUAUAGGUGUGAGCCACUGUACCUGGCCUGACUUGGGAUUUCUUUUAUCUAGCAUCCUUUACUUGGUAGGAUUGGGAAAAGCAGUAGUGUUUUUUAAAAUUACUUAAUAAUUCAAUCAGAAUCAAACUUUGAAACAAGGUCUUGCUUUAUUGCCCAGGCUGGAGUACACUGGUGCAAUCACAGCUCACAGCAACUUCAACCUCCCAGGCUUAAACAAUCCUCCCGCCUCAGCCACCCUAGGAACUGAGACUACAGCUGCAUGCCACAACACAUGGCUUUUUUUUUUUUUUUUUGAGAUGGAGUCUCGGUCGCCCAGGCUGAAGUGUAAGGGUGCGAUCU
rnacentral:lncRNA from 10 species